rnacentral:lncRNA from 1 species
GGGGGGUAAUUUUGAAAUUUGAGGGGAGAGGCAACACAAAAACAGAAACCCUAAAAGCCUAAUUUUUUCUCCCCUCACGGGGGAGGCAGCCGCCAGCCCCCCACCGUUUGAUUUUUCUCUUCUCCCUCACCGAAAGAGAGAGCCGCCAGCCCCCCCUGGAUUAUUUUUCUCUUCUCCCUCAACCGGACAACCGAUCUUCCCCACCCUCACAAAUCAGCCUCACCGAAACCCACUGACCAGACGAUUUUCCUCCUCCCCUUGUCCUCUGCCAAACACAAACCAGGCCACACCCUUCUUCCCCUCACAGGAGCUAAACCUUCACCCAGCCAUACUCUCCCCUCAUCUCACCAGGGCUGUUCCUUCACAGCCGGUUUUCCCUCAGCCACUGUGAACGCCAUCUCCAGCCGCUCCCCCAUUUCAACAGAUCUUCCCUCUCAGCUGCUCCCUUCUCCAGCCGCCAGCUCGCCAGACCAAAAGGAGGGCAGAGCCGUUCCCCUUCGUUCUCCCCUCUCGUCGGCCGCCUCCUCAUCUUCCCCGAUCUCUUCAUCUCCAUCAACACCGAAGCUUCAUCCAGCAGCAGCCAACACACGGCAGCACCCACAGAGUCAACAGCCGUUCCCAUCUCCACCCGACAAACCCAGCAGACCCGAACCGGCCACCAGCUGCUGCACAGCCAUCGCCGCCCAAACGCCAGACCUGCCACCCAAAGCAGAGGAGAAGACGAAACCCACAACAAAUUGACCCGCCGUGUAGUCGAAGAAGGAGAAGGGAGAGAAGCCGAUCUGGACCAAAAAGAAAAAAUUAAAAUCAACUGCUGUUGUGCGUUGUUUCUCCUUGUUGCAGGUGACGGUGACCUUCACCGCCGACGUAGGGAGACAGAGAAGAAGAAGAGGUUCCCGAUCCACCGGUUUCUGCCACCUUCAUCGGCGGCGGCGCGUGGAACCACGCGCCGCCAGUGACGCCACUGUUCUGGCAGCUCCAGAAGUCGGCCUGACACUGUUCCGGGUUGUUUGGUUCAUUUUGUAAUUUUCAAAUUGUUUAAUGUAAUAUUUGUGUAAUUUUGAGUUUUUUUUUAUAAUUUGUACUUUGUGUAAAUGUGGAGGAAAAAGAAAAAAAGAAAAGAAAAGAAAAGAAAAGAAAAAAACAAAUAUUAAUAGAAAAAGAGUUGUGCGUGUUUUGUUUUUUUGUUAUGUAUAUUAUUGAAUAAAAAGAAAAAAAAUGAAUUUAAUUUAUAUGCACAAAUAUCUAAAGGACAGAUAAAAAUCAUGUUGUAUUUUCCAUAAAAAUGUAGAACAUGUAUCUACAUAUAUUUUGGGAACUAAUAACUGAUUUAUCAAAGCCUUAGAAUUGGGCUAAAAUUUUAUUUUUAAAACGCAUCAAGUCCACGAAGCAGCUUACCUCAGGUAGGGUGCGUUAGGGGUGCGAAUACCUUCCCUAACCACAACCAGUCCCUUACCCGCGAAUCUUUGACAAGACCAGUACAUCAGGUUUCCUAGUAGCCCUCAAUAAAUUACUAGGUGGCGACCCCAACGAACCAAGCAAGCAAAACACAUAACAACAGAAAAAUCGCCAGCAGAUGCCGCGCGGAUUUUGACGUGCGACAGAAUGGCGACUCCACUGGGGAAGGUAUUGUUUCUGAUGAUAUUGGACUAAGCUUUGUGUAUUUGAUGUGUUUAUGUUUUGCAUUUUUGUCUUGUUUUAUUUUUGUUUUAUUCAUGCAUUUUGUAGAAUUGUCUCAUGCAUCACAUAUUUUAAUUUUUUUAAAGCACACACAAGCUUCAGGUUAGGAGGGGGACUAGCAGCUUACCUUAUGACUUUUAGUCAAGGUUUAAGUUUGUGUAAACCCCAACUCUUCGUUGAGUGCUUAGACUGGUAAUAGUUGGACAUGUGCCAUCUCAUUGCCUACAAGCCCCCAUAUUGCCUCCACGAGGGCAAUCACUGGGACAACAAGAGACCCUUUUUAGAGACCAAGUAAUAAACCUACCUUUUGUCUCACUUAAAAAAUUAGAACCUGCCUUUAGGAUGUGUGCUCCGUAUAUAUUGUUUUGCAUCAGGGCAAACCCUUCUUGAAGCAUCUUGAACUCAAGACUUUUGGGUGACCCAAUGGCCGUCACUUAGAAAAUUUUCAUUGUAGAGUUUGGGCAAGAAUCAAGAUUCUUGUUUCAUCAUACAAGAGUUACGACCAUAUGUCACCCCUCGAAGGGCGAGUUCAUCAUAUAGUUUACAUGUCCAUACAUUUAUCAUGCAUGUACCGGGUUGAAAGAUAGGUUCUCCCACACAAGUUGUGCUACGCGCGAAUGAAGAAAGAUGAUAGAAGCAAAGAAAGUUGUCGGAGAAAGGCUCAUUGUCAAAAGGAAGUUGAGAGCAUCAGAGGUGAAGUAGCCAGAAUCAGAUAUGCUUGAUCAAGUGUAGAGCAUCAAAGGGAAAGGGAAUGUCUACACAGUCUUCUGUGGGAACACUGCUUGUCCAUGUCUCAUUGAAGUUACAUCUCCAUUUUAGUCCUGAACAACAACAGCAAUGCCUUCAGUCAUCAACUAAGGACAACUUUGGUUCUUGUUCAGUUGCACUGCUAAUUGUUCAUCGCCUCCAUAUCUUUCAAUGACACCAAAUAAUUGCUAGCCUUCUGUGCAUGGUGCAUUAGUCUUCUUUGAAGUUACCCCAACUGUUAGCUCAAUUCCAGUUCAGCGGCACAAGAUGUAAAAAAAAAAACAAAAAAAAAACAAAAAAAAAACCCCGAAAAAAAAACUGAAAAAAAAAACCAUGAUUCGACCCUGAACUUCUACGUUGCAGAGCUCUCUCUGUAGAUAUUUCUUUAUGGAUCUGCAAGUGGGGAAUGCAAGAGGGGAUGUAGUAUUUUCAUAUGCUACAAAAAUUCGCCCCAUCAAUUUCAGAACCGAAACACUGGAGUAGGCAGAAGGGUCACACCUGGUCUGAAAACAUGAGCCGUCAUUAAACUUCAACGCGGCAGAGCUCUCUCUACAAAAAUCCGUUUGUGGCUCUGCAAGUAGGGAAUGCAAGAGGGGAUGCAGUACUUUCAUAUGCUACAAAACUUUGGCUCAUCAGUUUCAGCACUGAAACACUGGAGUAGGCCGAAGAGUCAGACCUAGUCUGAAAACAUGAGCAGUCGUCGAACUUUGACGUGUCAGAGCUCUCUCUACAAAAACCCGUUUGUAGCUCUGCAAGUGGAGAAUGCAAGAGGGGAUGUAGUAGUUUCAGAAAAUGUGAAAAUUUAUGCCACCAGUUUCCGCAUCGAAACACUGUAGUAGGCAGAAAAGCCAGACUUGAGCUAGAAAACAGGAGCAAAUAUAGAACUUCACCGUGGCAGAGCUCUCUCUGCAGAAACCUGUUUGUAGAUCUGCAAGUGGAGAAUCCAAGAAGGGAUGCAGCAGUUUCUGAUCAUCUAUAAUUUUCUCUCAUCGGUGUUAGCUUGAAAAUGCAAAAGAAGGGAAAAGAGACAAACCUCGGCUGAAAAAUAGAAAGAAGAUUGAAACUUCAACAGAGCAGAGCUCCCUCUACAGGUGUCUGUUUGCUGCACCAUCAGUGAGGAAUCAAAGAGGAGACAAAGGAGUUUUAGAUUCAUCAAGUUCUCUUCCAGUUUUGACAAUGUGUGAUUCCACACGUCGGCAGUGGCAAUGCUGCAAGUCUCCGGGUGCUGCCAAGAUUACCUAGCUGUUGGAAGGUUUCCAACAAUCCACAAACGACCACAACAACAGGGGAAGAUUGACAUGAUGUUGUGAAGAUUGUCAAAAGAAUUGAACAAGCUAUAAAGAGAGGAAAGAUUGAAGGUUUUGCCAUGGAUUCCAGAACUAUGAAGAGAGUUGAAUCAGAAGAUGACUCUCAAUUGAGAAACCUCAGUUAUUUUGCCUAGUCAAGUCUCGCUCAAGCAUCAACUACUCCAAUGUCUCUGCCAAAGAUAGUCAUUCCUUUGCCAUGUGGGUUUAUUUACCAGCAUCUGCCAGAUUCCAGACUUUUUCCUGACUCCGACAAAACCCAUGCAACCACCGUUUUCUAGGUGGUAUAAUCCAGACAAGAGAUGUGAUGUCAUGGUGGGGUCCUUAGCCAUUUCAAUUGAAUAAUUGCAAGAAUCGAGUCCGCAAAUUGGUGAGCAAAAGACGAGUGGAGUUUGCGAAGGAGGGUGUCAUUGGCUAAAUUGUCGCUAGAACAUCCUCAGAAUGACGAGUGAUCGGAAUUGCUUGGCAAAACAGAGAUAUUGCCAAAGAGGCUGAUCUAAGAAGGGGUUAAACUGUCAAUCAUUUUUGUUAUGAAUUUUUGCCAUUCUGCAUUUUGUUUCGGGAUCACAUCUCCUCCUUGAACGAAACAUGUCUUUCCUUUGUCUUCCUGUUGUUUUGAAAUCAAGAGAUGCUUCUUUCAAAGGGUAUUUUUACAAAAUAUUUUGAUCAAGCUCCAACAUGCGAUUAAGAUUAAUCAAUCCUGAAGAUUAAAAGUAUUUUGAUUGCAGAAAUAACUUGAUGCUUGAAAAUGACAUGAGGUGACCAAACAAUUUUUGAACUCAUACUUCCUGAAACUGAACCACACAUCAUAUAGCUAGUUUUAGCAGUAUGCAUAAUGACAUGUAGUGGAUUCAAUAGUUAUGGACUCGUGAAUCAUGAUUCUUACAAGUCCAAAUCAUUGCACUGGAUGAGGUCAAAAUUUAUCGAUUCUAACCGACCUUGCUUGAAAUGAGAAAAGGCCAUCUUUGUUAUACUUUCACAUUUCUUGAAAUAUUAUCCCUUGCAGUCCCAUUUUGAGCCUGGUAAAGUAUUUUCUUUCAAAAAGAAACCCUGACUAGGAUCACACCCUACAUUGGGGAAAAAUGAGAGAUAUUUUGAAGACACUGAUUGGACUAAUGGAUAAAAGAAAGGCUUAGAACAAAAGUCAAAUGAUUGAGAAAGGGCUAGAAGAAUAAAAGCCAUAGAUUGAGGGCCAUCCAAGAAAACUUUGAGGAAGGCUGUGAGAAAGCAAAAAAAAAAAGAAAAGAAAAAAAAGAGAUUGAAAAAAGAAGAAGUUGAAUCUGCCUUCACUUAAAGGCAAGUCAAAGAUAAAGGAAGGAGAAUGCCUAUCAAUUCUAAGAGUGGCAAAAGAGGUUUCAAUUGAAGAAAGACACAACAAAUGCCAAAAGUCAACACUAAAAAAAUCAAGUUUCAUGUUUUUUGGUGUGUCUAGGAUAAAGCCUUUAGUGUCUUUAAAAAAAAAUUUUUAGAUUGAUUAUUCAUCAUAGAAAAAGUUGGAUUUACAUUAUGACCUAUGUUAAGAGAAUUCUGAUCUUUGAGAUUAACAAGGUUAUAUGUCACUUUCUCCACAAUGACAACAAGAAAGAGAGUUGAUGAAUAGUUGAUGUUGAUCCUAAGUCUUUGAAAUCCUCAAACACUUUUUGAGCUUGUGAAAUUCCUUUCUUUCAUAGCCAUGAACCAUAGCUUGCAUUAUGUGCUUUUAAAAGCCCUUUUUAAUCAAGUAAGCAAUCUGAACCGAUAAAUGGCGAUCUCAAAACUUGAAGAGUUUUCCAUAAGAGUCAUAGCUUCAUGGAUUAAGCUAAUGGUUAUUAUGCAUGCUGAUAAAAUUGGUGUUAAAAAAAAAAAACAAUCUUUCUUGAUAAGUCCUCAAGUUUUGACUUGUGUCUUUUGUUUUUUGAAAUUCACAGAAGGUCACCUCAUCAUAGACCAUCAAAAGAUAUACCCGAAAUCAGAGUCUAAAAUGGAUACAAAGAACCAUGAAAAAAAAAACCAUUUUAGUCUUACAAUGGGUCAAUUUCUGUUUUCAAAAUACAUGACAAUCAAAGGACUGUAUAUUUCGAAUAACGUGUGUUGGAUCUUUGACCGAAGAAACUUGAUUUUCAAAAACUGACAUCUCUCUGAUUUCAUUUCAACAAUUAGACUUGAAUUGACAUGAUCUUUGAAAUAUGAGAGUUGAUUCCAGAACAAGAAAGAUUGUUAAACAACAAGAACAUCGACCGAAUUUGCAAAAUCCUUGACAAGAAUGACAUCAACACUUCUUGACACUCCUUGAAAAGUUGACCACCUGGAGGCAAUACAGUGGAUCAUGGGUAGGAAAACAAGCAGUAUUUAGAUCAGCUGGGGGCAAUUAAAGAUGAUCAAAUGAUGAAUCAAUGCACUAAGGACAAUAGUGUUUAAAGAAAGCUAAUCAGCAGGACAAACAUUCAGAUCAUUACUGGGGGCAAUGUUGUUCAAAGAUAGUCCAUGAUCUAGUGAACCCCGUCAACAAUCGGGAAAGCAAAGAUACACUUCAAGGAAAUCUUUUGAAACAUGGCUAUCGACCGAUGUGGGCAUACAGUUGCAUUCGAACGAAUAUGAAAAGAUGCACACCACCAAGAUUGAUUGCGGAACAAUGUUGUACUUGAAGGAUAAUGUCAUAUUAUCAUCUCCAACUUGGCUAUGACUUUUGAACGAUGUUAUCGCAUAGUUGUGAAUAUUGGAAGGAUGCACUCACCAAGACUGACUGUGGGACCAUAUGUUUUGGAGCUCAAUGCGCACUUCACCGUAUGAAUAUGGGUGAUAACAUGAACAUCAUUGAUGAUGUCGAGACAUUUCUUUUCACUAUCUGAUUUGACAAGCUGAGAGAAAUCCAUGAGAAAGAACAUUGAGCAUACAACGAUGAGUCUUUCACUGCAAGCUAUGAGAUGCAUGUCUGGACGAUUGGAUAAUUUCCAUGAAGACUGGUGAUAACAUUACUUGAAGAGUAUUGUUUCAGCUUGAGGCAAGUUUAUGACUGAUGGACAAUCAUGAUGGGUGUUGGCAUGAUGCACACAACCAAUCAGAGGAUAAUUCUUAGAAGAAUCCAGGAGAGAAAAUCCUUCACGAUGAAUCAAGCAACACCACACUUGGGGGCAGAGUCAAGCUUGAUAAACCACAAGAGCAGUAACCGUUGAAGACAGCCUAGAUUGGGCACUGCACUUACAACUGAGUGGAUGGCUAGCACAUGAAUGAGUCAGUACAUGGGAAGGACAAAUAAAGCUUUGGAAUGCAAACAAAGGCACCCUGUGAUGAUGGAACAUCGAAGAGAGGGGACCUAUAUUUCACAUCAGGUAAGGAUGCAUGCAUGUCAUCUAACCUCAAAGCAUUGCACAUACUUAUGAUUUGUUACAGAAAGAUCCUCAAUGAAGUCCAGCAAGAUUGUGGACAAAGAAAGAAUCAUUGAGUUGAUAACAGAGAAUCAUGGUUGUGACCUUGAAACGGGAAGAAGAUGAGAUAAACCUUACUGUUAGGAAAAUCUCAAAGAAAUGAAAAGAUCAACCUUGCAAUCAGGAAGCAUCGAGUUUUCAAACCCUGCGAUCAAGAAUUAUCAAGAAGCACCAAGUUUUCUGGCCCUUCUUCUAUCAUCCCUUCAGGACUUCGCCAGGUAAGUCCCAUUUCUCACACUUGUCACAUCACAUCUUUCAUUUGGGUAGGUCACCCAUAACAAUGAGACCACUUCAUAUUUUUUCUAUCCUCCACCUGGGUAGGUCACCCAUAACAAUGAGACCACUUCAUAUUUGUUCUAUCUUCCAUCUGGGUAGGUCACCCAUUAUAACGCGACCACUUCACAUUUUUUCUAUCUUCCAUCUGGGUAGGUCACCCAUAACAAUGAGACCACUUCACAUUUUUUCUAUCUUCCACCUGGGUAGGUCACCCAUAACAAUGAGACCACUUCACAUUUUUCUAUCUUCCAUCUGGGUAGGUCACCCAUUACAAUGAGACCACUUCAUAUUUUUUCUAUCCUCCACCUGGGUAGGUCACCCAUAAUAAUGAGACCACUUCAUAUUUGUUCUAUCUUCCAUCUGGGUAGGUCACCCAUUAUAACGCGACCACUUCACAUUUUUUCUAUCUUCCACCUGGGUAGGUCACCCAUUAUAACGCGACCACUUCACAUUUUUUCUAUCUUCCACCUGGGUAGGUCACCCAUUAUAAUGAGACCGCACUUCACAUUCUUUCCAUUUGGGUAGGUCACCCAUCAUAAUGAGACCGUUUUCCAUCAUUUUUUCUUGGGUUCGUCACCCAUACAAUGAGACCAUCAUUUUUUUUCUUGGGUUCGUCACCCAUACAAUGAGACCAUCAUUUUUUUUCUUGGGUUAGUCACCCAUACAAUGAGACCAUCAUUUUUCUGGGGUUCGUCACCCAUACAAUGAGACCACCAUUUUUCUGGGGUUCGUCACCCAUACAAUGAGACCACCAUUUUUCUGGGGUUCGUCACCCAUACAAUGAGACCAUCAUUUUUCUUGGGUUCGUCACCCAUACAAUGAGACCAUCAUUUUUCUUGGGUUUGUCACCCAUACAAUGAGACCAUUUGUUCCACAUUCUUUGUUUUGGUUUAAUGAGGUCGCCAGAUGAGAUCUCAUGUAGCUUUGGUUAAAGGGAAUCGCCAGAUGGGAUUUCAGGUUAACCGAGUUACGUCACAUUUUUUAGUUCCAGUUGAAUGAGGUUGCCAGAUGGAAUCUCAUGUAGCUUUGGUUAAAGGGAAUCGCCAGAUGGGAUUUCAGGUUGACCGAGCUACCACACAUUUUUUAGUUCCAGUUGAAUGAGGUUGCCAGAUGGAAUCUCAUGUAGCUUUGGUUAAAGGGAAUCGCCAGAUGGGAUUUCAGGUUGACCGAGCUACCACACAUUUUUUUAAGUUCAAGUUGAAUGAGGUCGCCAGAUGGGAUCUCAUGUAGCUUUGGUUAAAGGGAAUCGCCAGAUGGGAUUUCAGGUUGACCGAGCUACACACAUUCUUUGGUUUUGAAAAAGAAGAUCGCCAGAUGGGAUCUCAAGUUAACGAAAAAAAAGAAAAAGAAACAUUUAGAGUUUUUCUUUACAAAGCUUACUAUGCGAAACAUUGAGGAGUUUUGCUUCGUAAGCAUUGUAAAGAGGGGGCAUCUGUUGCUACCCAAUUUUUGACCCAUGUUUUGAUAAAUUUUUUAAAAAAUCCAAAAAUAGCGAAAAACAUUGAAAAUCCAAAAAAAUACAUUUUUAAUACAUUUGCAUCGUUUUUAGCAUUUUUAGCAUCAUCUUAAAAGAAUUUAAAUUUUCAACGACAUUUGGAACGCGUUCAACUUUUAACGCGUUAUUUUUAAAAUCAUUGAUUUUCUUCAUUGAGUCGACGUUGAUAUUGCUCGUUUUCAAAAAUACAAAAAAAUUAAGAAAAAUCAAAUUUUACAAAAAAGAAAGAAAGUUGAGGGACCAAUUUUGAGAUCCAUGCAACAUUUUACCUAUAAAUACUGGUUCACAACUCAAACAAAAGGGGGGGGGUAAUUUUGAAAUUUGAGGGGAGAGGCAACACAAAAACAGAAACCCUAAAAGCCUAAUUUUUUCUCCCCUCACGGGGGAGGCAGCCGCCAGCCCCCCACCGUUUGAUUUUUCUCUUCUCCCUCACCGAAAGAGAGAGCCGCCAGCCCCCCCUGGAUUAUUUUUCUCUUCUCCCUCAACCGGACAACCGAUCUUCCCCACCCUCACAAAUCAGCCUCACCGAAACCCACUGACCAGACGAUUUUCCUCCUCCCCUUGUCCUCUGCCAAACACAAACCAGGCCACACCCUUCUUCCCCUCACAGGAGCUAAACCUUCACCCAGCCAUACUCUCCCCUCAUCUCACCAGGGCUGUUCCUUCACAGCCGGUUUUCCCUCAGCCACUGUGAACGCCAUCUCCAGCCGCUCCCCCAUUUCAACAGAUCUUCCCUCUCAGCUGCUCCCUUCUCCAGCCGCCAGCUCGCCAGACCAAAAGGAGGGCAGAGCCGUUCCCCUUCGUUCUCCCCUCUCGUCGGCCGCCUCCUCAUCUUCCCCGAUCUCUUCAUCUCCAUCAACACCGAAGCUUCAUCCAGCAGCAGCCAACACACGGCAGCACCCACAGAGUCAACAGCCGUUCCCAUCUCCACCCGACAAACCCAGCAGACCCGAACCGGCCACCAGCUGCUGCACAGCCAUCGCCGCCCAAACGCCAGACCUGCCACCCAAAGCAGAGGAGAAGACGAAACCCACAACAAAUUGACCCGCCGUGUAGUCGAAGAAGGAGAAGGGAGAGAAGCCGAUCUGGACCAAAAAGAAAAAAUUAAAAUCAACUGCUGUUGUGCGUUGUUUCUCCUUGUUGCAGGUGACGGUGACCUUCACCGCCGACGUAGGGAGACAGAGAAGAAGAAGAGGUUCCCGAUCCACCGGUUUCUGCCACCUUCAUCGGCGGCGGCGCGUGGAACCACGCGCCGCCAGUGACGCCACUGUUCUGGCAGCUCCAGAAGUCGGCCUGACACUGUUCCGGGUUGUUUGGUUCAUUUUGUAAUUUUCAAAUUGUUUAAUGUAAUAUUUGUGUAAUUUUGAGUUUUUUUUUAUAAUUUGUACUUUGUGUAAAUGUGGAGGAAAAAGAAAAAAAGAAAAGAAAAGAAAAGAAAAGAAAAAAACAAAUAUUAAUAGAAAAAGAGUUGUGCGUGUUUUGUUUUUUUGUUAUGUAUAUUAUUGAAUAAAAA